GGGCCCGUAGCUCAGCCAGGAUAGAGCGCCGGCCUCCGGAGCCGGAGGUCCCGGGUUCAAAUCCCGGCGGGCCCGCCA
rnacentral:tRNA from 11 species